GAUGAACGCUGGCGGCGUGCUUAACACAUGCAAGUCGAACGAUAAAGCCCAGCUUGCUGGGUGGAUUAGUGGCGAACGGGUGAGUAACACGUGAGUAACCUGCCCUUGACUCUGGGAUAAGCCCGGGAAACUGGGUCUAAUACCGGAUAGGAGCGCCUGUCGCAUGACGGGUGUUGGAAAGAUUUUUCGGUCAUGGAUGGACUCGCGGCCUAUCAGCUUGUUGGUGAGGUAAUGGCUCACCAAGGCGACGACGGGUAGCCGGCCUGAGAGGGUGACCGGCCACACUGGGACUGAGACACGGCCCAGACUCCUACGGGAGGCAGCAGUGGGGAAUAUUGCACAAUGGGCGGAAGCCUGAUGCAGCGACGCCGCGUGAGGGAUGACGGCCUUCGGGUUGUAAACCUCUUUCAGUAGGGAAGAAAGCGAAAAGUGAACGGUACCUGCAGAAAGAA
rnacentral:rRNA from 1 species